GACCUUCUCAACCACAUCGUUCUUGUUGUGGCUUGGAUGUGGGGGAAUAAUUUUAUUUUGCAGGCUUCAACCAAAGAAGCCUGCUCCCCUGAAAUGCAUUAGUGGUGUCUGAGCUGCUAUUGGUGUGAUAAAUUAUCUAUGCCUUUGGUGAUGCUGGUCAGCGCUGCUUAUAACGGACAGUGAUCAAUUGACAA
rnacentral:misc_RNA from 1 species